UCUUGACUAGUAUAUCGGUUAGUACACGCGCUUGUCAUGCAGUAGGCGGCGAGAUCCGCGCGAAAGCUGGGUUCGACUCCCAGGUCGAGAG